rnacentral:rRNA from 1 species
UACGAAGGGGGCUAGCGUUGCUCGGAAUCACUGGGCGUAAAGGGUGCGUAGGCGGGUCUUUUAAGUCAGGGGUGAAAUCCUGGAGCUCAACUCCAGAACUGCCUUUGAUACUGAAGAUCUUGAGUUCGGGAGAGGUGAGUGGAACUGCGAGUGUAGAGGUGAAAUUUCGUAGAUAUUCGCAAGAACACCAGUGGCGAAGGCGGCUCACUGGCCCGAUACUGACGCUGAGGUGCGAAAGCGUGGGGAGCAAACAGG